GGAGUACUACGCUAACCCCAAGAUACAAGCCAUGCAAGCAAACACGAGGUACGAAGGGGCGGACGGCUCGGUACAACGGUGGGAGUCGGACCGGGGGUGAAGGCUAGACGGAUACGGCUGGCAACCCAGCACCAAGACGAGUGCUCAAGAGCGAGAAGGGAGAGGACGCAAAGGAGCGAAUGCCCGGAGGAGGUUCCGAGGUAUUACCUGGUCGGUAGAGUAGUGGUCUACGGAGGGGAUGAUG
rnacentral:rRNA from 1 species